UCACUGCUUGCGCAGGCAGUCUGACUAGAGUCCCCGGCUUGACCCGCUGGUAACUAGUCAUAGGGGUUGCGUUCGUUGCGGGACUUAACCCAACAUCUCACGACACGAACUGACGACAGCCAUGCAGCACCUCGCUAGAGGCCCUUGCGGGAAGUCCCCUUUCAGGGACGGUCCUCCAGCGUUCGAGCCUAGGUAAGGUUCCUCGCGUUGCAUCGAAUUAAGCCACAUGCUCCACCGCUUGUGCGGGCCCCCGUCAAUUCCUUUGAGUUUCACCCUUGCGAGCGUACUCCCCAGGUGGGAUGCUUAUCGCGUUAACUUAGGCGCUGAGGUAUUACUACCCCAACACCGAGCAUCCAUCGUUUAGGGCGUGGACUAC
rnacentral:misc_RNA from 1 species